rnacentral:rRNA from 1 species
CCUACGGGAGGCAGCAGUCGGGAAUUUUGCGCAAUGGGCGAAAGCCUGACGCAGCAACGCCGCGUGAGGGAUGAAGGCCUUCGGGUUGUAAACCUCUUUUCUCAGGGAAGAUAAUGACGGUACCUGAGGAAUAAGUCACGGCUAACUACGUGCCAGCAGCCGCGGCAAUACGUAGGUGGCAAGCGUUGUCCGGAUUUACUGGGCGUAAAGAGCGCGCAGGCGGUCGUUCAAGUCGAGUGUGAAAGCCCCCGGCUCAACUGGGGAGGGUCAUUCGAUACUGAUCGACUCGAAGGCAGGAGAGGGAAGCGGAAUUCCCGGUGUAGUGGUGAAAUGCGUAGAUAUCGGGAGGAACACCAGUGGCGAAGGCGGCUUUCUGGCCUGUUCUUGACGCUGAGGCGCGAAAGCUAGGGUAGCAAACGGGGAUUAGAUACCCCGGUAGUCCUAGCCGUAAACGAUGGACACUAGGUGUUGGUGGUAUCAACCCCGCCAGUGCCGUAGCUAACGCAUUAAGUGUCCGCCUGGGGAGUACGGCCGCAAGGCUAAAACUCAAAGGAAUUGACGG